rnacentral:rRNA from 1 species
AUGGCUGGUAGCCUCUUCACCAUUGAUGGUGCACCCUCUCUUCGGCCGCGCGCAAAAAUCCAGAGCGUGCUUAGCAGCCCACGGUUGGUUGCUAGUAUGGCAACUUGCUGCCGUGACAAGGUGGAGAAUGGACUUCUACCAUUAUUUUCCCACCUGGCAAGCACCGGCACUCCGUUCGACAUGCAAGAAAUGUUUUCCAGGUUUAUGUUUGACUUGGCUGCCACACCUCUCUUUGGCGUCGACCCUGGCCUCCUGUCCUUCUCCUUAGACAUGUCGAUGCCACCCAUGGAUGCCGCGGUCGCGAUGGACACGGUCAUGGAGGUGGGAUUUAUCCGACACUUAAUUCCAGUCUCUUGCUGGAAGGCAAUGAGGCGCCUAAACAUCGGCUCCGAGAGGAAGCUUCGCACGGCACACACGGUGCUAAGAAGAUUUGCUGCAGAGAUGAUCGAGGAGAGGAGUAAGAUAACUCUCAAUAGGGGAAGAUGUGCAUUGAGUAAUGAUGAUGAACACGAGGAUAUUCUAUCUUCCUACAUAAAUGACCCAGACUACACAGACAAUGACUUGCUCCAUGCGGUGCUCCUCAGCUUCAUGCUUGCUGGGCGGGACACGAUUGGUACCACUCUACCCUGGGUCUUCUACAACCUCGCCCAGAACCCUGGCAUUGUAUCAAUUAUCCACAGUCAACUCUCACCCAUUGCAUCGCGCAAAGUACCCGCGAGUACGGGUGCCAUGAUGAUCUUUGAACCAGAGGAUACAAAACCUCUGGUCUAUCUCAGAGUUGCGUUGUACGAGACUCUUAGGUUGUACCCAUCGGCACCUAUUGAGCGCAAGACAGUGGCUGCUGGUGAUAUCAUGCCGAGUGGCCAUGAGGUGAAGGUCGGGGACACCAUCCUUAUAUCUCUCCACUCCAUGGGGAGAAUGGAAGACCUAUGGGGUAAAGACUGCCUUAACUAUAACCCGAAUAGGUGGUUGUCAAAGGAUGGCAACACCCUAAGGUACGUACCAUCUCACAAGUUCUUGGCCUUCAACUCAGGCUCGAGGAUCUGCCCUGGCAAGGAGAUUGCGGUUAUGCAGAUGAAGACCGUCGUUGCGACUGUGUUGUGGAACUUUGAUGUUGAGGUGGUGGAAGGGCAGAUCAUCCAGCCCAAGCCAUCUUGUAUACUACAGAUGAAAAAUGGAUUUAUAGUUAAACUGAGGAAGCGAGAAUUGUAA